rnacentral:rRNA from 1 species
GACGAACGCUGGCGGCGUGCUUAACACAUGCAAGUCGAACGGAAAGGCCCUGCUUGCAGGGUACUCGAGUGGGGAACGGGUGAGUAAAACGUGGGUGAUCUCCGCUGCACAUCUGGAUAAGCCUUGGAAACUGGGUCUAUUACAGCAGAGGAGCGCUCUUUAGUGUGAUGGGUGGAAAGUAUUUUGGGUGUAGGAUGAGCCCGCGGGCUAUUAGGUUGUUGGUGGGGUAAUGGGCUACCUAGGCGGCGUCUGGUAGCCAGCCUGAGGGGGUGGACGGCCAAAUUUGGGCUUGGAUAAGGCCCAGAACUCGUCGGGAGGGCAGAGGGGGGAAAAUUUGCCAAAUGGGGGGAGCCUGAUUGCGCGACGCCGCGGGGGGGGAUACGGCCUUUGGGUUGUAAACUCCUUUUCCUAGGGAAGAAGCUGUGUGUGACGGUAACUGGAUAAGAAGCACCGGCUAACUACGUG